CAUGCGCCACAAGUGGUAUCCAUGUUUAUUGGGUCUAAAGCGUUCGUAGCCGGCUAGGUAAAUUCUGUGUGAAAUCGUUGGGCUUAACCCAACGACGUGCACGAAACACUGCCUAACUUGAGACCGGGAGGGGACAGAGGUAUUCCAGGGGGAGCGGUAAAAUGUUAUAAUCCCUGGAGGACCACCAGUGGCGAAGGCUUCUGUCCAGAACGGGUCUGACGGUGAGGAACGAAGGCUAGGGGAGCAAACCGGAUUAGAUACCCGAGUAGUCC
rnacentral:rRNA from 1 species